rnacentral:lncRNA from 1 species
AUGAGAGCACUGCACUGGGCCCGCUCAGCCAACGGAAGCCGCAACGUCCAGGCGUUUAUUCUCCCGCCGAGAGUUCAGUGUUUAGUCAAACAUGUCUCACUUGUGAUAAUGUUUAUUUGUGAUGGAUUCAUGGGAACGAAUUUUGACAAAAUGUUUCAAUUGUCAUUUCUGAAGUUGAACAGAAGGGCUAGGAAAGGAGAGGCCAGACAACCAUUCGCUGAUUUCGCUGACUUACUGUUGACCAAGCAAGGCCUGAAUCAUCUCCAGCUGGACUGGUUCACCAUUGUGGGCAACAGAGGUGUUCCCCAUGGAAUUUGCAAGUGGAGAGAAGUAUGUGAAACUGCUGCUUAUGUUGAAUUUUUUGAAGUUUGUAGAUUCCAUUGUUAGCUCAAUGUGGUGUGGUUUUGACCGGGAAAGUAUUAGCCAUGAGCCUGAACUGUGGUCAUCUCUCUUUCCAGUGGAAAAGAGUCUACUUUCCCCUCAUCUGACCAUGGGCUAUCUUGUCCACCUUCUCUGUGCUCUAAGUCUCUUUCCUUGACCAGUAGUUCUUGCUUGAUAGCUAAGUCACUACAAUAUUCAAAUAUGCAAAGAAAAUUAAGCUUUUCUUUUUAUGUGUUUAAAAGAUGCUCAGUAACCCAAAUGGCUACUGUAUUUUUGAAAUGUGGGUCAUUUUAUAUAGUUGAGUUCAUCUUACUUGAACACCUACCCUGUAAGUUAUAUAUGUGAGAAAUAGUAUGUCUUACUAUUUUCCAGUUUGACAAUAGUCAUUUGACUGUUUUCAUUUCAAAACAGUCUAUUUGGGAGUAAUGCUCCGCUUCAGAGUUCUUUUGCCCCUGAAUUAUCCCAGGAUAGCACUGGGGUAUUUGGGAGGUGGAUUAUGUUCCUUUGUGGAAGUUUGGGAAGGGGGAGAAGUAAUGGAUUUGAUUCAGAGUGCUUUAUGCUGUACUCUGGACCCUGGAAGGAUUUAGUUAAGGGUGACUGAUCCAGGAUAGUCUGGUUGAGUUUGUAGGGCCCUUUGCAAUAUCUGCUGAGGCAUAUGAAACGUCACGUUCCCAUGGCUGAUAUUCAUGGUCCUAUUCAUUUGCAUCUAGUCUCAAAUACCCUAUACUACCCUAUAUAACCCCUUCUUUCAAGGCUAUACCUCUGUUGGUUCAAUGGUCAACUCAUUGUAUGACCAUUCUUCUGGAUUAUCUACUUGCUAUGUGCAGCCAUGAGAAACCUGGAGGGUUAUCUCAUGUCUAUUUAAAUAAAUAUGCCUUCUGCUAUGCUUUAGGUUGAAAA